rnacentral:rRNA from 1 species
UACUAGAGUAGCACUCGCAUAUCAAUAAGCGGAGGAAAAGAAACUAACAAGGAUUCCCCUAGUAACGGCGAGUGAAGCGGGAAGAGCUCAAAUUUGAAAUCUUAAAGGGUUUCCCUUUACGAAUUGUAGUUUAAAGAAGUGUUUUCUGUAGAGGUUUUGGUAAAAGUUCUUUGGAAUAGGACAUCAUAGAGGGUGAGAAUCCCGUAUUUGACCUUUACUUUCAACUUUGUGAUACACUUUCAAAGAGUCGGAUUGUUUGGGAAUGCAGUCCAAAAUGGGUGGUAAAUUUCAUCUAAAGCUAAAUAUUGGCGAGAGACCGAUAGCGAACAAGUACCGUGAGGGAAAGAUGAAAAGAACUUUGAAAAGAGAGUUAAACAGUACGUGAAAUCGUCAAAAGGGAAGCGUUUGACACCAGUGUUGUUUUUCUGAAAAUCAAUUAAAGAACUGUUUAUGCUAAGCUGUUUAGACUUUAUCAGCUAUCUGUUUAGUUUUGAGCUUUUCUUUAAUGCACUUUUCAGUUAACAAGUCAACAUCAAUUUCUUUUGCUGUAAAAAAGCUUGAGGAAGGUGGCUUGAGAUUCGUCUUAAGUGUUUAUAGCCUCUUGCCUAUGCAGUCGGAGAGAUUGAGGUCUGCAGCGUAGAUCCUUCGGGGCUAAAUGCAUUUGUGCUAAGUUAUAGCAUUUUAUAGACAACUUGUUGACUAUGAUUUGUCUUGUAGCUUACUCGCUUAUGUUAUUUUACCUACGCUUAGGAUGUUGAACUCUAUCACACACAG